UUUAAUCACAAUGUUCAUCAAUUUGUCUGUUUGUGUUUAGACUGAACAAUAAUAAACUGGGGGAUUCAGGAGUGAAACUGGUGUCUGCGGCUCUGAGGAACCCGGAGUGUAAAAUACAGAGACUGUGGCUGUGGGGUGUCGGUCUCACAGAUUCUGGUGCCGAGGAUCUCGUCUCCGCUCUCAGUACAAACCCAUCACUGACGGAUCUGGAUCUGAGUGGUAAUAAACUGGGGGAUUCAGGAGUGAAACUGGUGUCUGCGGCUCUGAGGAACCCGGAGUGUAAAAUACAGAGACUGUGGCUGGACAGUGUCGGUCUCACAGAUUCUGGUGCCGAGGAUCUCGUCUCCGCUCUCAGUACAAACCCAUCACUGACGGAGCUGGACCUGAGAUCAAACUCUCUGACAGACCGAUCUGUCCCCGCUCUCCGCCGCCUCAUACUGACCCUCCCGAGUCUGAAGUGGAUCGAGUGAGUGUUUGUGUUAAUGUUCAAUGUGAUAAAAUAUCAGCGGAUCCGCGGGUUUUCUGGUGAUAUUUGUCUGUGAGUGUUGUUGAAACAUUAACCCCGGUCCCCUGUUACUGACACUGUUGUGUGAUCUGUUUAUUCCAUCUUUAUUCUCCCAUCUGUUUCAGGCUGUGGGGGAAUCGGUUCAGUGAGACCGGGGGGAAGGAACUGAGAUCUCUACAGGAACCCAGACCCGGACUGAUGGUGGAUCUGUGAACAUCUGAAUGUGGGGAAUCGGUUCAGUGAGACCGGGAUGAAGGAACUGAGAUCUCUACAGGAACCCAGACCCGGACUGACAGUGGAUCUGUGAACAUCUGAAUGUGGUGAAUCGGUUCAGUGAGACCGGGAUGAAGGAACUGAGAUCUCUACAGGAACCCAGACCC